CCUGGCGGCCGUAGCGCGGUGGUCCCACCUGACCCCAUGCCGAACUCAGAAGUGAAACGCCGUAGCGCCGA
rnacentral:rRNA from 7 species